GGGCCAGACCAAGCAAAACAUAUUAGACAGUAGUAACGUUUCAUUCCUCCAGUAAAUCUCUAAAAAAUAUCGAGUAGGGACCUUAGCCACAUAUUUCUGAGUAUAGAACAACGAAGAUGAGGUUCCCUUCGCAGGAGAGAUGAAACCGAAGAUUAUUCCGGUUUCUACAGCCAAGAGAUAGGGAUGGUCGUCGGUGUCAUCGUCCUGCGUUAAGGAAACCUUGUAUCUUUGCAGCCUUAUGUAUGCGUUUAUGUUAUUUACUACCCUAGCUAUUUCUAGAAAAAAAAAAAAAAAAAAAAAUUAGUUGGUUUUGCUCAAAGGGUUCAUCUGGCUGCAGAUUUGUGUACCGGAAAAUGGUAAAUUUAAGUCGGUCUUUCGGUUUCCUCUAGUUUCUCGAUAGUUUCUCAUACUGCUUGAUUGUAAUAUAUACCCAUAAUUUUCCUUCACGAAAUGCAUCCCAUUUGUUAGCCUCGACCUUUCAGAUGCAGUUCGUUCUUUCAUCUGUACUGAAAAAAUGACCGACACUUUUACUAUGUAGUCAGAGAAGGCAUUAUGUUGAGAAUUAUGCGUUGAGUGGAGUCAACGGAAGCCAACGGCUGCAGCUCCGCUCUUUCUUGGUUUCUUUCCGAUCCGCGAACUUACAACCUCCAGAGUGCUGAGCCUCCAUUAGCCAUGUUUCCUAAAUCGCCAAAUGAAAAGAUUACGCCAUAUAUGCUAUGUCAGUUGCUAUUAUCCGACACUCCUCCUCAAUUUCUAUGCACAGUAAAUUGUGCAUCAGAUUCUGUAGUCAUUCGUUUCAACUUUCAAGUGAGGAGAUGCAAGGAAGCCUUCAAGCUGUACAAUGAAGAAAGGAGAGAAAGGAGAGGGCUCAAGAGUAUUUAAGUACGAUGAUGAUGUUGUGAAGACGUGAUUUUAGUAAAGUGUUACUAGCAUGAAUGAGCUAAUUACCGAGGAUGUUGUGAUAGUAGAUCUUGAAUGUUUAAACUCCCAAUUGCGAGUUGCAUAAUUAGCUACUGACUAAAUUGUGGUUAUGAAGCUAUUAAAUCUCUAUUUUGUAAACAUAAUCCUUAAGCAGUUUAUGUUUCUGAUCAAAACUCAGGUUCAAACUGGUAACUACUUCCACAACUGAAGCUACCAUUCAUCCUCAGUGCUCCAGAAGAAACAAACAUCGGAACCACCUAUCUUCCCAUAAGAAAAGGCAUGAUUGCAUAGCACUUUUUCAAAAGAACCGGAGGGAAAAGAAGGAGCAAGAGAGAUCAACAAUUUGAGCAUGAUGACAUUCCCGUUCUAGUGAUAGAAUUGGGGUACGUUACAUGUAAUCUCUUGUACUUUUGUCUAAUGCCACGUUAUCCCUAAGGUUU